ensembl:lncRNA
ACACCUCCACAGCCCCCUCCCUCCAGUGAGGGAGGAAGCCCAACGAGGCGCGCUUGCAGAGGCAGAAGAGCUGGAGGACGGUGUGUGUUGGACGAGGCUGUGUUGGACGAGGCUGUGUUGGAUGAGGCUAGGUUGGACGAGGCUGUGUUGGAUGAGGCUAGGUUGGACGAGGCUGUGUUGGACGAGGCUGUGUUGGACGAGGCUGUGUUGGACGAGGCUGUGUUGGACGAGGCUGUGUUGGACGAGGCUGUGUUGGACGAGGCUAGGUUGGACGAGGCUGUGUUGGACGAGGCUGUGUUGGACGAGGCUGUGUUGGAUGAGGCUAGGUUGGAUGAGGCUGUGUUGGACGAGGCUGUGUUGGACGAGGCUGUGUUGGAGGAGGCUGUGUUGGAGGAGGCUGUGUUGGACGAGGCUGUGUUGGACGAGGCUGUGUUGGAGGAGGCUGUGUUGGAUGAGGCUGUGUUGGAUGAGGCUGUGUUGGAGGAGGCUGUGUUGGAUGACGCUUUGUGGGAUGAGGCUGUGUUGGAUGAGGUUGGAUGAGGCUGUGUUGGAGGAGGCUGUGUUGGUGACCUGGCCCUUCUGCCCGUUGCUAGCUCAGACCCUGGAGGAGGAACAGAAAAGCCGCAGUGAAAACUCAAGCGGACUAUGCGUCUCAUGUCCCACCACCCCCUGCUACCAUGGACCGCAUAACACCCCCCCUGCAACCCCC